GGCGGCGUGCCUAAUACCAUGCAAGUCGAACGGGCUUUUCUAUGGAAGCUUGCUUCCACUGAGAAGAUAGUGGCGAACGGGUGAGUAACACGUGGGUAACCUGCCCAUAAGAGGGGGGAUAACAUCCGGAAACGGGUGCUAAUACCGCAUAGUUUUCUUGAUCGCAUGAUCGGGAAAGGAAAGACGGCCUUUGUGCUGUCGCUUAUGGGUGGACCCGCGGCGUAUUAGUUAGUUGGUGAGGUAACGGCUCACCAAGACGAUGAUACGUAGCCGACCUGAGAGGGUGAUCGGCCACAUUGGGACUGAGACACGGCCCAAACUCCUACGGGAGGCAGCAGUAGGGAAUCUUCCGCAAUGGACGAAAGUCUGACGGAGCAACGCCGCGUGAGUGAAAGAAGGUUUUCGGAUCGUAAAACUCUGUUGUCAGAGAAGAACAAGUUGGAGAGUAACUGCUCCAGCCUUGACGGUAUCUGACCAGAAAGCCACGGCUAACUACGUGCCAGCCGCCGC
rnacentral:rRNA from 1 species